CCUACGGGUGGCAGCAGUGGGGAAUAUUGCGCAAUGGGCGAAAGCCUGACGCAGCGACGCCGCGUGAGGGAUGAAGGUCUUCGGAUCGUAAACCUCUGUCAGCAGGGAAGAACGGUCACUGUGCUAAUCAGCAGUGAAUUGACGGUACCUGCAAAGGAAGCACCGGCUAACUCCGUGCCAGCAGCCGCGGUAAUACGGAGGGUGCGAGCGUUAAUCGGAAUUACUGGGCGUAAAGCGCUCGUAGGCGGUAUGUCAAGUCAAGGGUGAAAUCCCCGCGCUCAACGUGGGAACUGCCUUUGAAACUGGCAAACUGGAGUGUGUGAGAGGAUAGUGGAAUUCCAGGUGUAGGAGUGAAAUCCGUAGAUAUUUGGAAGAACACCGAUGGCGAAGGCAGCCCCCUGGGACGCAACUGACGCUCAUACACGAAAGCGUGGGGAGCAAACAGGAUUAGAUACCCUAGUAGUC
rnacentral:rRNA from 1 species